rnacentral:lncRNA from 1 species
CAUUAAUGUGAAUCAGUUACCAAGCAUCCAAAUUUUGAUCAUGUGAAUAUGCUAACUUUGAAUUGGACUUCAUAUUUGCUUAGACAACCUGGAAUUUCCUGUUUAUAAGAAUAAGUGUCAUACUACACAGGAAUCGUAUAUCAAGUAGGAUUACAAAAUGUCUGAAGGCCUGCCUUUUGUAAGUGAUCACCUGUAUUUUAUUUAGCACCUUUUUGUAGUGGAUGUGUGGAUGACUUUGGGAAAUAU